rnacentral:lncRNA from 1 species
CAUCUAUUUGAUUAUAUUUAUCGGACGAGAAGUUUGCUCAGAUUGUUCUCGAAUUUUGCUGUGCUGCUUCCCAAAAUUUUUUCAGGACUUUUUGCUUAAUAUCUGCUUUGCCGUUCAUCUAAAAAUAAACUGUAUUGAUUUAUCUAAUGAUGAUAAAUUUUAGUUGGUGCAAAAAAAAAUUUUUGUACACCACAUACGUUGUAGAACGUACGCACUGUCCGCGGUGAUUAGCUCACGCAUGAUAUUAGAAUACGAUAUAUGAAAAAAAAUUUCGAUCCCAUGCAUGAGCCAUUCACCGCAGAUAAUGCACGCGAUCUGCACCACCC